rnacentral:rRNA from 1 species
UACGGAGGGUGCAAGCGUUAUCCGGAUUCACUGGGUUUAAAGGGAGCGCAGGCGGAUUGGUAAGUCAGUGGUGAAAGCCUUAAGCUUAACUUGGGAACUGCCAUUGAUACUAUCAGUCUUGAAUAUUGUUGAGGUUUGCGGAAUGGGUCAUGUAGCGGUGAAAUGCAUAGAUAUGACCCGGAACACCUAUUGCGAAGGCAGCAGGCUAAACAAAGAUUGACGCUGAGGCUCGAAAGCGUGGGGAUCAAACAGG